UACAGAGGGUGCAAGCGUUGUUCGGAAUUAUUGGGCGUAAAGGGCUCGUAGGCGGCCAACUAAGUCAGACGUGAAAUCCCUCGGCUUAACCGGGGAACUGCGUCUGAUACUGGAUGGCUUGAGAUUGGGAGAGGGAUGCGGAAUUCCAGGUGUAGCGGUGAAAUGCGUAGAUAUCUGGAGGAACACCGGUGGCGAAGGCGGCAUCCUGGACCAACACUGACGCUGAGGAGCGAAAGCCAGGGGAGCAAACGGG
rnacentral:rRNA from 1 species